CGGUAUUAAACACGAAGGCGCGGUAUAAAAGGGUGCUUCCAUUGGAAGCAUCGGUUCAUUUGUCAAUCAACCGCCGUGGAAGUGAGGAUCAAAUUCAAGAUGGCGGCCCGAGUCAAGUACAAAACACAGAGGGGAGAGGUUUCGAAGCGCUUCCUGAUGUAUAAAAAUGCUACCUCUACCUUCUAGUCCGAUAGAAUGUGUAAAAAAGGAAACUCAGUAGAAGUAAAGCUACGAAACCAAGGUGAUUUAUGCAAAAAAGGAGCAAACGCAUGAUCGGAAAACAACGAUUUCAAACCUCGACAAAAGCUAUACCCAAGAAGCAAGUCAUGGUGACAUCUGAAUAAUCAGCAAGAUAUAUUCCUCGAGAAAAAGCAGAUACAUAGACAUGUUAUUACAUUUUCCAUGUGAUUUUAAAUCAUAAACAUUCCUUUGUAAAGGAAACAUGUUUUGUUGCUAUAAGAUUGAUUGAUGUGUUAGUGAAGUGUAUAAAGCAACCAGUCAUAUUUUAUAAACUGCAUUAUAGAUUAUACUUUUGUUGAAUAAACCAAAAUGCUUUCUCUUUUAUCCUUUCAGUUCAAGGCUUCUCAUUCUUACAGUAAAAGCAAGUGUAGAUACAGGGAGGAUAUCCAUUGAAUGAAAACAGUAAAAGUCAUGUCUUUAUUUUGUAUAAUUAACUUAUAAUUAACUAAGUAUAAAACAUAUGUUUGGGUAAACCCUUUGUAAAACUAAGGAUCCAGACUGGUUUUGGGCAAAUAGAAACAAAAGCUAAUUCAAUUGUUAUUAUUUCUACAUUAUUUGUAGUCAUCAUAGAUUGGAAGAUAAAAACAAAAUGCUAUACAGGUGCAUUCUGAUCCAAAAAGUAGAAAGACUCAAUUAUGGCUCAAUCUCACUUAGAUGGAUAUCAGGCAUUUCUUUAGUAGCCCUUCAGUGGUUUGGUGUACAUAUAUGUGUAAGUAUAUAAGCUGAUACAUUGUACAAAGGGUUAUCUGCUGUUUCUGUGAGCCAGUUAUGCACUAUAAAAACAUAUUGAAACAAAUGUUUUCUUUAUAUUGUAUACCAGUCCCUUGUUUUGUACAGUUUCUGUGAGCCAGUUAUGCACUAUAAAAACAAAUAUUGAAACAAAUGUUUUCUUUUAUUGUA